GAUGAACGCUGGCGGCGUGCCUAAUACAUGCAAGUCGAGCGAACAGACGAGGAGCUUGCUCCUCUGACGUUAGCGGCGGACGGGUGAGUAACACGUGGAUAACCUACCUAUAAGACUGGGAUAACUUCGGGAAACCGGAGCUCAUACCGGAUAAUAUAUUGAACCGCAUGGUUCAAUAGUGAACGACGGUUUUGCUGUCACUUAUAGAUGGAUCCGCGCCGCAUUAGCUAGUUGGUAAGGUAACGGCUUACCAAGGCAACGAUGCGUAGCCGACCUGAGAGGGUGAUCGGCCACACUGGAACUGAGACACGGUCCAGACUCCUACGGGAGGCAGCAGUAGGGAAUCUUCCGCAAUGGGCGAAAGCCUGACGGAGCAACGCCGCGUGAGUGAUGAAGGUCUUCGGAUCGUAAAACUCUGUUAUUAGGGAAGAACAAAUGUGUAAGUAACUAUGCACGUCUUGACGGUACCUAAUCAGAAAGCCACGGCUAACUACGUG
rnacentral:rRNA from 1 species